AUUGAACGCUAGCGGGAUGCCUUACACAUGCAAGUCGAACGGAGUGGCGAACGGGUGAGUAAUGUAUCGGAACGUGCCCAGUAGCGGGGGAUAACUACGCGAAAGCGUAGCUAAUCCCGCAUACUAUUGGAGCAGCCGAUAUCGGAGUAGCUAGUUGGGGGGGUAACGGUUCACAAAGGCGACGAUCCGUAGCUGGUUUGAGUGGACGACCAGCCACACUUGGACUGAGAGACGGCCCAGAUUCUUCCGGGAGGGAGCAGUGGGGAAUUUUGGGCAAUGGGGUAAACCCUGAUCCAGCCAUCCCGCGUGUGCGAUGAAGGCCUUCGGGUUGUAAAGCACUUUUGGCAGGAAAGCGGUACCUGCAGAAUAAGCACCGGCGAACUACGUGCCAGCAGCCGCGGUAAUUC
rnacentral:rRNA from 1 species